UACCUCUGGUUUCUCUUAAAUCACACAUAAAUCUUUCGUCUUUUAUUAAAGAUUUCCGUGGAGUGGAACAUCAGUGAGUUUGAUGUAUUGCUGUGAGCUUUGCUCUGGCAAAGCU